AUUGAACGCUGGCGGCAUGCCUUACACAUGCAAGUCGAACGGUAACAGGUCUUCUGUUGCUGACGCGUGGCUGACGGGUGAGUAAUACAUCGGAACGUGCCCGAUCGUGGGGGAUAACGGAGCGAAAGCUUUGCUAAUACCGCAUCCGAUCUACGGACGUAAGCCGGGGACCGCAAGGCCUUGCGCGGGCGGAGCGGCCUAGGGCAGAGUAGGUAGUUGGUGGGAUAAAAGCUUACCAAGCCGACGAGCUGUAGCUGGUCUGAGAGGACGAGCAGCCACACUGGAACUGAGACACGGCCCAGACUCCUACGGGAGGCAGCAGUGGGGAAUUUUGGACAAUGGGCGAAAGCCUGAUCCAGCCAUGCCGCGUGCAGGAUGAAGGCCUUCGGGUUGUAAACUGCUUUUGUACGGAACGAAAAGACUCUUUCUAAUAAAGAGGGUGCAUGACGGUACCGUAAGAAUAAGCACCGGCUAACUACGUG
rnacentral:rRNA from 1 species